GUCUUGGAAGCCAAGUGAAGAAUGUUUUUCAAGAAGAAAGCAAUUAAGCAGAUCAACUGAAAAAUGACCACCAGAUUUAGCAAUAGCAAGGGGUAGAAUGUUGAUAGGACACUAUUUUCUUAGCGAAGUAAGAAAUGCUAUUAGUUGAACAGGAAAGGAAAAGCUGUUUGGGAUUUGAGGAGAUGAAAAGGUGUGCAGUUGUCACCUAGGAAAAAGAAAGAAGGAAGAGGGACUGGAUGAGGGACGUAUGGUGUGUUUCUGAUUCCACAAGUCCACCUCUGCUAGCGAUCAAGAAUUUUAAGUGGGAUUAGUCAGCCAAGGUGUAUCUUUUUCUACAGACACAAUGAGCAGUGGCAGGUAAGCACAGAGUAAGCAGAGAGUGGGAUUUAACCAGGAUUGAGGUAAAGCUUUGCUGAUCAGCAUUAUGAGGAAAUGAGAGAAGGCCAAAAGAACCAAAUAUACAUGCAAGAAAGUGAUCAUGACUGAUCAUGAAAUUUAAACUGGGAAGAGAGGAAUGAGGACAUGAGGAGGGUGAAGAUUGGAGUGCAGUGGCACAAUCACGGCUCACCACAACCUCCCACUCCCAGGCUCAAGUGAUCCUCCCACCUCAGCCUCCCAAGUAGCUAGGACCACAGGUACACACCAC
rnacentral:lncRNA from 10 species